rnacentral:rRNA from 1 species
AAAUUGAAGAGUUUGAUCAUGGCUCAGAUUGAACGCUGGCGGCAGGCCUAACACAUGCAAGUCGAACGGUAACAGGAAGCAGCUUGCUGCUUGGCUGACGAGUGGCGGACGGGUGAGUAAUGUCUGGGAAACUGCCUGAUGGAGGGGGAUAACUACUGGAAACGGUGGCUAAUACCGCAUAACGUCGCAAGACCAAAGAGGGGGACCUUCGGGCCUCUUGCCAUCAGAUGUGCCCAGAUGGGAUUAGCUAGUUGGUGAGGUAACGGCUCACCAAGGCGACGAUCCCUAGCUGGUCUGAGAGGAUGACCAGCCACACUGGAACUGAGACACGGUCCAGACUCCUACGGGAGGCAGCAGUGGGGAAUAUUGCACAAUGGGCGC